rnacentral:tRNA from 1 species
AGCGGGGUAGAGUAAUGUUAACUUCUCGGGCUCAUAAUCUGAGACUGCAGGUUCGAAUCCUGCCCGCCUA